rnacentral:rRNA from 1 species
UAAGCGGAGGAAAAGAAACCAACAGGGAUUGCCCCAGUAACGGCGAGUGAAGCGGCAAAAGCUCAAAUUUGAAAUCCUGCGGGAAUUGUAAUUUGAAGGUUUGAUGGUCUGAGUCGGCCGCGCCCAAGUCCAUUGGAACAUGGCGCCUGGGAGGGUGAGAGCCCCGUCUGGCGCACGCCGACUCUUUGCACCGCGGCUCCGACGAGUCGAGUUGUUUGGGAAUGCAGCUCUAAGUGGGUGGUAAAUUCCAUCUAAAGCUAAAUAUUGGCGAGAGACCGAUAGCGAACAAGUACAGUGAUGGAAAGAUGAAAAGCACUUUGAAAAGAGAGUGAAACAGCACGUGAAAUUGUUGAAAGGGAAGGGCUUGCAAGCAGACACGGUUUUACCGGGCCAGCGUCGAAAUGAAACGAAGGAAAAGGGGGAAAGAAUGUGGCGCGUGCCUUCGGGUUCGCGUGUUAUAGCUUUCUCCAAUACCCCCAUGUUUGUUUGAGGCC